AAUAGAUACCCCGGUAGUCCACGCCGUAAACGAUGAAUACUAGGUGUAGGGGUUGUCAUGACCUCUGUGCCGCCGCAAACGCAUUAAGUAUUCCGCCUGGGGAGUACGGUCGCAAGAUUAAAACUCAAAGGAAUUGACGGGGGCCCGCACAAGCAGCGGAGCAUGUGGUUUAAUUCGAAGCAACGCGAAGAACCUUACCUAGACUUGACAUCUCCUGAAUUACUCUUAAUCGAGGAAGUCCCUUCGGGGACAGGAAGACAGGUGGUGCAUGGUUGUCGUCAGCUCGUGUCGUGAGAUGUUGGGUUAAGUCCCGCAACGAGCGCAACCCUUAUUGUUAGUUGCUACCAUUAAGUUGAGCACUCUAGCAAGACUGCCCGGGUUAACCGGGAGGAAGGUGGGGAUGACGUCAAAUCAUCAUGCCCCUUAUGUCUAGGGCUACACACGUGCUACAAUGGCAAGUACAAAAGAUGCAAUACCGCAAGGUGGAGCUAAACUUAAAACUUGUCUCAGUUCGGAUUGUAGGCUGAAACUCGCCUACA
rnacentral:rRNA from 1 species